CGGUUUAUUAAGUCCGAUGUGAAAGCCCACGGCUCAACCGAAGAAGUGCAUCGGAAACUGGGAAACUUGAGUGCAGAAGAGGACAGUGGAACUCCAUGUGUAGCGGUGAAAUGCGUAGAUAUAUGGAAGAACACCAGUGGCGAAGGCGGCUGUCUGGUCUGUAACUGACGCUGAGGCUCGAAAGCAUGGGUAGCAAACAGGAUUAGAUACCCUGGUAGUCCAUGCCGUAAACGAUGAGUGCUAGGUGUUGGAGGGUUUCCGCCCUUCAGUGCCGCAGCUAACGCAUUAAGCACUCCGCCUGGGGAGUACGACCGCAAGGUUGAAACUCAAAGGAAUUGACGGGGGCCCGCACAAGCGGUGGAGCAUGUGGUUUAAUUCGAAGCAACGCGAAGAACCUUACCAGGUCUUGACAUCCUUUGACCACUCUAGAGAUAGAGCUUUCCCUUCGGGGACAAAGUGACAGGUGGUGCAUGGUUGUCGUCAGCUCGUGUCGUGAGAUGUUGGGUUAAGUCCCGCAACGAGCGCAACCCUUAUUACUAGUUGCCAGCAUUUAGUUGGGCACUCUAGUGAGACUGCCGGUGACAAACCGGAGGAAGGUGGGGACGACGUCAAAUCAUCAUGCCCCUUAUGACCUGGGCUACACACGUGCUACAAUGGAUGGUACAACGAGUUGCGAGACCGCGAGGUUUAGCUAAUCUCUUAAAACCAUUCUCAGUUCGGAUUGUAGGCUGCAACUCGCCUACAUGAAGCCGGAAUCGCUAGUAAUCGCGGAUCAGCAUGCCGCGGUGAAUACGUUCCCGGGCCUUGUACACACCGCCCGUCACACCAUGAGAGUUUGUAACACCCAAAGCCGGUGAGGUAACCCUUCGGGGAGCCAGCCGUCUAAG
rnacentral:rRNA from 1 species